GAUGAACGCUGGCGGCGUGCCUAAUACAUGCAAGUCGGGCGAACGGACGCGACGCUUGCUUCUCUGAUGUUAGCGGCGGACGGGAGAGUAACACGUGGAUACCCUACCUAUCUGUCUGGGAUCACUUCGGGAAACCGGCGCUAAUCCCGUAUAAUCUUUUGCACCGCAUGGUUCAAAAGUGAAAGACGGUCUUGCUGUCACUUAUAGAUGGAUCCGCGCUGCAUGAGAUAGUUGGUAAGGUAACGGCCUACCACGGCAACGAUGCGUAGCCGACCUGUGAGAGGGAUAGCCGACACGGGAGGGGGGACAGGGACCAUACGCCUGAGGGAGGCAGCAGUAGGGAAUGGGAGGCAGUGGGCGGAAGCAUGACGGAGCAACGCGGCGUGAGUGACGAAGGUGUUCGGAGCGGAAAACUGUGUUAUGAGUGAUGAACAUAUGUGGAAGUAACUGUGCAGAGCGUGACGGUAACUGGUCAGAAAGCCACGGCUAACUACGUG
rnacentral:rRNA from 1 species